GUUUCUGUGGGUUUCUGCAGCACAGUCUUGGCUCCUUUGCUCAUCCUUCCUCCAUCUCCACAACUUGAUUCCAGGAGUAUGGUUCAGUGCUUAGGUGUGGGUGCCUGUUUCUGCUUCGAACAGCUACUGGAUGAAGACUCUAGGAAUGGCAACCAAGAUGGUGUCCAGAGAAUUGAUCUGAAGCUGUUUUGGAAGACACGUCCAAGAUUCUGGUGAACUUGUUGGCAAUGCUCAGAAGUGUGAGCAGCAUGUAUAUCAGCAACCAUUUCCCACAUUCCUGAUAUUCUGUCCCCUAAUAAGGUCUUUCUCUGGGAUGUUCGAGAGCUACAGGAGAGAAGAAGAAAACUCGAGGAUUUCUACUGCAAAUUCUUAAAAUUUCCAAGCAGGAACAUUCAUAGCAAUUUAGAUUCCUGUCCUACAGUAGUUCACAUCAACUCCAAG
rnacentral:lncRNA from 1 species